AUUGAACGCUGGCGGCAUGCCUUACACAUGCAAGUCGAACGGCAGCACGGGAGCUUGCUCCUGGUGGCGAGUGGCGAACGGGUGAGUAAUACAUCGGAACGUACCCUGAAGUGGGGGAUAACGUAGCGAAAGUUACGCUAAUACCGCAUAUUCUGUGAGCAGGAAAGAGGGGGAUCGCAAGACCUCUUGCUUUAGGAGCGGCCGAUGUCGGAUUAGCUAGUUGGUGAGGUAAAGGCUCACCAAGGCGACGAUCCGUAGCGGGUCUGAGAGGAUGAUCCGCCACACUGGGACUGAGACACGGCCCAGACUCCUACGGGAGGCAGCAGUGGGGAAUUUUGGACAAUGGGCGCAAGCCUGAUCCAGCCAUGCCGCGUGAGUGAAGAAGGCCUUCGGGUUGUUAAAGGC
rnacentral:rRNA from 1 species